rnacentral:rRNA from 1 species
UACGGAGGGUGCAAGCGUUGUUCGGAAUCACUGGGCUUAAAGCGCGUGUAGGCGGCCCGUCAAGUACCUUGUGAAAUCCCUCGGCUCAACCGGGGAAUGGCUGGGUAUACUGUCGGGCUUGAGGUGGGUAGGGGUGCCUGGAACUCUAGGUGGAGCGGUGAAAUGCGUAGAUAUCUAGAGGAACGCCCGUGGCGAAAGCGGGGCACUGGGCCUUACCUGACGCUAAGACGCGAAAGCGUGGGGAGCAAACGGG